CAGACACGUAUCUCAUUAUCUUCUGCAAAGAUCUAUUUGUUUAGCCAUGUGCAAAUAUUGCCCUAAAAUGUUCACAGGUUCCAGAAUAACCAGAUGACUGAGGAGUGUUGAAGAUUGCCGUGAUGGAAGUGCCUCAGUCAGCCUGGAAGACUGUAUGGAAGGAGUUUGCCUGGCCACACUGUCGUCCCUCUCUCCCUAAAAGAGACACAUUUGCCUUUGUGCAAAGCAAUACAUACAUUUGGUCUAUGUAUACACUUUGGUCUAUGUAUUCUGUUAUUUAACAUUCUAAUAAUGUUGAUGACCUUAAAAUAUGCUUGACAAUGA